CCUACGGGAGGCAGCAGUGGGGGAUAUUGCACAAUGGGGGAAACCCUGAUGCAGCGACGCCGCGUGGGUGAAGAAGUGAUUCGGUACGUAAAGCUCUGUCAGCAGGGAAGAAAAUGACGGUACCUGAAUAAGAAGCCCCGGCUAACUACGUGCCAGCAGCCGCGGUAAUACGUAGGGGGCAAGCGUUAUCCGGAUUUACUGGGUGUAAAGGGGGCGCAGACGGUGAGGCAAGGCAGGAGUGAAAGGCCGGGGCUUAACCCCGGGACUGCUCUGGAAACUGCGGGGCUAGAGUGCGGGAGGGGCAGGCGGAAUUCCUGGUGUAGCGGUGAAAUGCGUAGAUAUUAGGAGGAACACCGGUGGCGAAGGCGGCCUGCUGGACUGCAACUGACGUUGAGGCUCGAAAGCGUGGGGAGCAAACAGGAUUAGAUACCCUAGUAGUC
rnacentral:rRNA from 1 species